UUUUCACUCGCAGAUGUUUGAUGAAAGUUUUCAACAUAAAUACAUAAAUUAAUCAUUUAAUGAAAUUCAUCAAUUUUUGCUGUCUACAAAGUUGGAAGUCGGAAGUGUUUCCUAUUUCACAAUCUUUGAAAUAAUUUCCAUGUAUUAUUGCUAUAUAAUUUGGGAUUUCUUUAGAGGCUUUCUCCAUGUGCUAGUUUUCUUGCUCUUAUUUUCUUUGUUUUUCUUAGCUCUGCUCCACUCUGCCCUGCCUUUUUCCAUCUAUCUUGUGAAUUUUUCUCUUACCAAAUCCCAAACAUUAUUAUUUCGUGGUAGCAAUUGGCCAAAGCGUAUAUGGUGGGGCCCUCACAUUUUGUGUCCAUUGUUUGUCAAACAUCAGGCGGCUGUCGUACCGCCUACUCUUCUCCGCCUUCUGCUCCUCGUGGCCUGGGAUGGGAGUCUGCUGUGUGCUGGCGACAAAAACAGCGCGUCAAAAGCAAACAUUUUGCGGUACAAAGCGGCACAGUUUUGAUUUAUGAGCUGAAAUUAAAUUAACUGCUGCAACAGCAGAGGCAGUCGUGGAACCGAAAGGAAUUUAAAGAGCAACAAAAUAAUGCAAUGUCCGAGACCAGCCCCCAUGUUGCAUGUGCCUGAAUUCUGGACCCGAUCUGGUUUUUGCCAUUGACUGCGGGCUGCUGCGAAAAUUGCAAGGCAGCAUUCAAGCACAUUUUCACUGCCAAAAGGAAACCCUGCACUCCACUCCACUGCACUGCCCUCUGCCUGCUCCAUUUCAUCCCAUUCCAUUCCCCAUUUCGCACGAUAAAGUAAAUAUAUAUUUAAUUUUUUGUUCCCUCUUCUGACGCCGCUGCUGCUGCUGCUGCUGAUAAAAUUAUCAUUGUGGCGCGAUGUGCGGUGUGUGUGUUGUGUGGCUGUCAGGCGUUAUUAUUUUUUAUAUUCUCGCCCUCCGCUUAUCGGCCAUAGCAAAGAAAUAAAAAAUUGUAUGCACUUCUCCUACUAUCAGAGGCGACCACAAUAACAGCAACCCAGAGAGAGAGAGGCACAGAGACAGAUACAGAGAGAGGGCUGGUGCUGUGAGAGCAGCGCGGAAUCGGUUUUGGUUUCGGUUUCGGUUCCACACAGUUUGGCAUUUUCUGCAAUGGCAGAACCGAGUGUAUUGUAUCUAUAUGGGUCUCCAUAUCUACUCCUCGCUGCAGAUAUCUCAUGUCCAGAGUGCGUGCACUGCACCCUGCAACAAUUGGUGGGGGGAGGAGGAGGAAGGUCUGCUCUGGCCUGGCUGCUGGCUGCUGCCUGUCCAUGAUGAUGAUUAUAGAGGAGGUACACAAGUAGGUUGUGCAUCGGGAAGUUGUUUUCGGGCUUUCGUUUCGUUUUGUCUGUUGGAAUGUCAGAUUGUUUCGCGAAAAAGCACACACAAAGUUGAAGGUCUACACGAACGAUUGUGGCAGAAUACUUUAAUAAGAAUACGCUGUGAAAAGCAGAGUUUUCCCUUGGCUAUCUGUAAUAUUGGAACCAAAAGCGUUCUAAUGUGAUGGGUAAUCAGAAUCUAGAAUUAUUCUACAGGUACAGACAAUAUAGAUACUAGUUUCUCCAUUAGAAAUAACUCUAAUAAUAGUACAAUUUUCGUUUCAGAAAGAUGACAUAUUUUUGUAAGUAUUUACAAAAACUAUUUUUCUGCUUGUUCAAUUGAGCAAGACAUCAAAGGGAAAGACUAUUCCACUUUAUAGCUGGACAUUUCUUGUGCUUUUUAUACAGCAAAUAUGUACAUCAGAUAAAUCACUUAGCUAACGAUUAUCCCAAUAGAGCAGCCAGUCUCUCUCUAGCAACCAACUAACUUCUCCAAUUAAAACAUCAACCAAUCAAACGGCCAACACAAUUGCCAUUUGCCAUUCGACAGAGCAAUUACCAGAGCGUUCGUACGUUCGUCCAAGGGUUAGGGUUUCAGCUUUCAGAUACAGAUGGAAAACUGUGUGGAACGAUAGAACGAGCGCUAUCUGCACUUGUGGCAAUUAAUUGAAAUUGAUGUUUUAGUUAAGAUUAGCGUUUAACAUUCGUUAAUUUAUGACAAAUACUCCUCAAGUGGCUUCGGCCCCUCACAGUCAUUCUGAGAACCAUUCCGCUGGAGACUUGCUGGUUUUCCCAUAUCUUAUCGGGUAAUGUAUCUGUAUCUGAUGCUUGGCUUUUUUGGUCUUUUUUUUUGUAUUUUUCAAAGGGUAUUUCUCUUGGAAAAGUUGAACACGAUAGCUACAAAGUUCUUGUUCGAUUGCUGAGGCACGUAAUUUCGGAAUAAAGCAAACAAACAAACAAAUAUACAAACGUUGGCUGGCUACCGUUUCGACGAGCGUUUCUGGCGCGUUUUUGGUCGCUCGAAAUCGUUUGAUGCGUUUCCUGCGCGUCUUGUACGCGUUUUAACCCGCACUUAAUGUCUUUACUUCUGCGUUCUAACGUUUUUAACGUUUCUAAACAUAUUUAAUCUUUUUUCAGUUAUUUUAACAUUUAUUUCAUUCCUUUUUGUAUAUUUCUUUCACUUUAGUCAAUUUUUGAAUGCAUACCGCGUUGUUUUAUGCAGGCGUUUCAAAACGCCUUUCAGUUGGUUUUCUUUGCUUUUUUGUGUUUGGUUUUCGUUGUUUUUUGGUCUUCCAAGAGCACGGUAUGAAGUUCCUACGAGUUUAAUAUGAACGUAGGAACUCUAUACCUCGCUGAUGGCAAAAACCAGGUAAAAAAUACACAGAGCUUCCUCUGCCCUUGUCGCCUGUCCGCCCCAAAAGGGGCAGCAGAGCGAGCACACAAAACUUGAAACGCGGCAGAAACAGCAGAAAAAAACCACGCCACAUACCAGCUUCAAAAAUUCCAACUCUUUUUUUUCGAUUUGUUGUUUUUGGGGAAACUUCUGGGCAGCAGCGGGCACUGGUGCGGAAUUCUAGCUGCGGGGAGAACCUCUCUAGAUGAUGCUGAUGAUGAUCGUUUUCGUGGCUGUCGCCGUCUGCUGCCUUGUCAGCAUUUUCUCUACGGUUUUUUUCUUUUUUUUGUAAUUAUUUUUUCGCGCGAUUUGUAUGCGUCGUUUCAUUAAAUUGAAAAUAAUUUUUUAAUGAAUAUUCAUCAGUUUUCGAAAACAUUUUAACAUGCAGAAAAUGUGAAAUUUCAAUGGAAAUUAUUUAUUUGUUCUUAUUGGAGGAUUUUUCUGGUUUUUUUGUGUGGCAGAUUUCCUAGAUUUUGGUUUUCCAGAGCGUUUCAUUUCUCAUUUCAAUAUUUUCCAAUAUUCGAAACUGAUUUUAAUAUUAUUUGUACCGUUUUACUGCGUGUCAAAAAUAUAUUUGAGAUUUUCCGUAAUUUUCAAUUCAUUUAAGUUUUCAAUUUUCGUUCGUUUUCGUUUGAUUUUUUUAACACGAAAAUUGUGUUUGAUUUAGCACAGGAAGGCGCAAAUUUUUGAACAAUUUGCCAUUUACGAAAUGUUUUUGUUGAAGUCACGCGAAGAGUCGUUCGGUCGCUGGGUCGUGUCGGUCGUAGCACACGGAGCGUUUAAUAACGCUAGAAGCGGCGCGAUGGAGCUCGGGAAACGAACUGAAAAAAACGCAACGAAGUCGCGCAGAAAUUAACUCGAAAACGAGGCGGCAGCGCUACAAGUGCAGCGCACACACACACGACGCACACAUAUAGACUCUCUCCCGAUCUAGUAAUUCCAGUUAAACAACAACUGCAACGGCAAACGGCAACGCUGCUGCUGUGCUGCUGCCGCCGAGCCGCCUCAGCGCACGAUUUACCACACAAAACACUAG
rnacentral:lncRNA from 1 species